GUUUCAGGGCGGGGUGAGAUUCCCCACUGGCGGUAUGGGCAGGUGCCCGAGUCCGCGCGCCGCGCAGAAAAGAGCGGCUGACCUGGUGAGAUGCCAGGACCAACGGUUACAGUCCGGAUGGGAGAAA
rnacentral:ncRNA from 1 species